rnacentral:rRNA from 1 species
CCUACGGGAGGCAGCAGUGAGGAAUAUUGGUCAAUGGCCGGAAGGCUGAACCAGCCAUGCCGCGUGAAGGUCAGUGCCCUAUGGGCGUUAAACUUCUUUUGUGCGGGAGCAAUAAUGGUCACGUGUGGCCAGACGAGAGUACCGUACGAAUAAGCAUCGGCUAACUCCGUGCAGGCAGCCGCGGUAAUACGGGGGAUGCAAGCGUUAUCCGGAUUUUUUGGGUUUAAAGGGUGCGUAGGCUGUGAGGUAAGUCAGCGGUGAAAUGCUCCCGCUCAACGGGGUGAAGUGCCAUUGAUACUGCCUGGCUGGAUUGCGGAUGCGGUGGGAGGAAUGUGUGGUGUAGCGGUGAAAUGCAUAGAUAUCACACAGAACACCGAUUGCGAAGGCAGCUCACGGAUCCGCGAUUGACGCUGAUGCACGAAAGCGUGGGUAUCAAACAGGAUUAGAUACCCCUGUAGUC